AGAUGUACAAUUCAUUUCAAAUGUACACAUCUUGUUAUCAGUUGUCAAGAUGACAUAUAAAAUAACACAUGGAUUUUUAAUUUUAAAGAACAUUGUAAUCUCGAUGCAAUCAGCAACAAAAUAAUCAAUUCAAAUCGUUCUUUAAAGAAAUGUAAACAUUAGAAUGUGCAGUGUUUGUGGACAAAGGAAUUGUGUCGCUUGCAACUUCCUCGAUAUUUUUUUUACAAAUAACAUUAUGUUCUACAUUUUUUUAAAAAAGUAAUAAAAAUGCUACUGCGGAGUUUUAUAUCGUUUGGGAUUUUAGCAUUUACACCACCAGUACUAGGCGUGUCAGUAUACGAUGGAUAUGACAUGUUUAUCAUCGUCUGGGGAUCAGUGGCUGGAAUUGCUACUCUGACUAUAUUUGUUAUCAUAAUAUACAUCUAUAUUAAAAUAAACACAGAUAUAAUAGCUUCAAUACAACGAAUGGUGUCUACUGAGGAUAAACAAGAAACUUACGAGACUCCAGAUGCAAGAAGAGACAGUCAUAUUUACAAUCCAGAUCAACAUGGUGAUGACAAUGAAAGUGACAAUCAUCAAUAUCUAGAAGUUCGAUCAUCGACCACUAGCGAUAUUACGAAUACGUGUUCGACCAAUGACGAUACUCAGAGCCGGUUAUCGACCAAGCCAACUUCAGGCGAUAUUCGGAAUCAAUUACUGUACACUGGAAAUAUUCCAAAUCGAUUAACUGGUAAAAAAGUAGAAACACAUGGCGAAGUCGAUCAAAAUCGAUCUGGGGAUCAGAAUCGUGAAACAGUAUAUGAAAUUACCGACCUUGAUAACUCAAGCUGAUCAACCCAAAUUAAAAACGUCAGCUAAAAAUACUAUAAACAGUAUGCUUAUAAGUUAACCUAUUAUUCUUCAUUUUCAAUUGAUUCUUUUUAAAAAUGCCAGUACUGUUUAACCUGUUCACAUUUCAUGUAAUACAACAAAAGAUGCUUGGAGAAGCGACAUAGCUGAACAUUUUAUUCUCUCGACCUCGUCUCGUGGGGCUAUUGCCGGGGUUUCUAAAAAAAAAGCUAUUGAAUAAUUUACGAAGUACAGCAGCAAAACUAACUAAAAGAUAUAAAAUAUUUAUAACUUAUACUUCAAUUAGUAAUCGAUUAGAUGUAUAAAGUAUUAACUGAU